GACGGGUAUCCGGCCUAAGAGGGUGAACGGACACACUGGAACUGAGACACGGUCCAGACUCCUACGGGAGGCAGCAGUAGGGAAUAUUGCUCAAUGGGGGAAACCCUGAAGCAGCAACGCCGCGUGGAGGAUGAAGGUUUUCGGAUUGUAAACUCCUUUUGUUAGAGAAGAUAAUGACGGUAUCUAACGAAUAAGCACCGGCUAACUCCGUGCCAGCAGCCGCGGUAAUACGGAGGGUGCAAGCGUUACUCGGAAUCACUGGGCGUAAAGAGCGCGUAGGCGGGAUAGCAAGUCAGAUGUGAAAUCCUAUGGCUUAACCAUAGAACUGCAUUUGAAACUGUUAUUCUA
rnacentral:rRNA from 1 species